UUACUUUACGAGUUCAUAUACUAAAAUUGGAAACAAUAGAGAUUAGCAUGUUUUCGGUCCAAGGAUGCCAAGCAAAUUUAUGAAACAUUCCAUAUUUUU
rnacentral:snRNA from 1 species